rnacentral:rRNA from 1 species
GAUGAACGCUGGCGGCGUGCCUAAUACAUGCAAGUCGAGCGAACAGACGAGGAGCUUGCUCCUUCGACGUUAGCGGCGGACGGGUGAGUAACACGUAGGUAACCUACCUAUAAGACUGGGAUAACUUCGGGAAACCGGAGCUAAUACCGGAUAAUAUUUCGAACCGCAUGGUUCGAUAGUGAAAGAUGGCUUUGCUAUCACUUAUAGAUGGACCUGCGCCGUAUUAGCUAGUUGGUAAGGUAACGGCUUACCAAGGCAACGAUACGUAGCCGACCUGAGAGGGUGAUCGGCCACACGGGAACUGAGACACGGUCCAGACUCCUACGGGAGGCAGCAGUAGGGAAUCUUCCGCAAAGGGCGAAAGCCUGACGGAGCAACGCCGCGUGAGUGAUGAAGGUCUUCGGAUCGUAAAACUCUGUUAUUAGGGAAGAACAAACGUGUAAGUAACUGUGCACGUCUUGACGGUACCUAAUCAGAAAGCCACGGCUAACUACGUG